GUGAGUCAUCGAAUCUUUGAACGCACAUUGCGCCCGCCAGUAUUCUGGCGGGCAUGCCUGUUCGAGCGUCAUUUCAACCCUCAGGCCCAGCCUGGCGUUGGGGAUCGGCGCGGCCCCUCCGGGGGCUGCCGGCCCCGAAAUCUAGUGGCGGUCUCGCUGUAGUCCUCCUCUGCGUAGUAGCUAACACCUCGCACUGGAACGCGGCGCGGCCAUGCCGUUAAACACCCCACUUCUGAAAGUUGACCUCGGAUCAGGUAGGAAUACCCGCUGAACUUAAGCAUAUCAAUAAGCGGAGGA
rnacentral:misc_RNA from 1 species